GGACUCGUAGCCCAACGGGAGAGGCAGCAGGCUUAGAACCUGUACAGUGAGUGUUCGAAUCACUCUGGGUCUA
rnacentral:tRNA from 1 species